rnacentral:rRNA from 1 species
UACGUAGGGUGCAAGCGUUGUCCGGAAUUAUUGGGCGUAAAGAGCUCGUAGGCGGUUCGUCGCGUCGGCUGUGAAAUCCCGAGGCUCAACCUCGGGUCUGCAGUCGAUACGGGCGGACUGGAGUUCGGCAGGGGAGACUGGAAUUCCUGGUGUAGCGGUGAAAUGCGCAGAUAUCAGGAGGAACACCGGUGGCGAAGGCGGGUCUCUGGGCCAACACUGACGCUGAGGCGCGAAAGCGUGGGUAGCAAACAGG